AGCGAACGCUGGCGGCAGGCCUAACACAUGCAAGUCGAACGGAUCCUUCGGGAGUAGUGGCGGACGGGUGAGUAACACGAGGGAACGUGCCUUUUGGUUCGGAACAACUCAGGGAAACUUGAGCUAAUACCGGAUAAGCGCUUCGGGGGAAAGAUGUAUCGCCAUUAGAGCGGCCCGCGUCGGAUUUGGUAGUUGGUGGGGUAAAGGCCCACCAAGGCUACGAUCCUUAGCUGGUCUGAGAGGCUGAUCAGCCACAUUGGGACUGAGACACGGCCCAAACUCCUACGGGAGGGAGCAGAGGGGAAUCUUGCGAAAUGGGCGAAAGCCUGACGCAGCCAUGCCGCGUGAAUGAUGAAGGUCUUAGGAUUGAAAAAUUCUUUCACCGGGGACGAUAAUGACGGUACCCGGAGAAGAAGCCCCGGCUAACUUCGUGCCAGCCGCCGCCGUAA
rnacentral:rRNA from 1 species